AGUCGGCGGCCGGACUGGGAAGAUGGACGCAGCUACUCUGACCUACGACACUCUCCGGUUUGCCGAGUUUGAAGAUUUUCCUGAGACCUCAGAGCCCGUUUGGAUACUGGGUAGAAAAUACAGCAUUUUCACAGAAAAGGACGAGAUCUUGUCUGAUGUGGCAUCUAGACUUUGGUUUACAUACAGGAAAAACUUUCCAGCCAUUGGGGGGACAGGCCCCACCUCGGACACAGGCUGGGGCUGCAUGCUGCGGUGUGGACAGAUGAUCUUUGCCCAAGCCCUGGUGUGCCGGCACCUAGGCCGAGAUUGGAGGUGGACACAAAGGAAGAGGCAGCCAGACAGCUACUUCAGCGUCCUCAACGCAUUCAUCGACAGGAAGGACAGUUACUACUCCAUUCACCAGAUAGGUGGGAGGCUGCAGAUUGUGCCAGGCCCCACCCGGGCUGUUUGGAGAGGGUGGAGUGGUCGGUUUCCCCUAAGAGCUUUUCUGGUGUUGUGGGAUAUGGAGCAGGAGGCUGUAAACCUGUAAACACUGACCUCUGACCGCCUGUGUGCUGCUGUCACAUCACCCCCGUGUCAUCCCCCAUCACCCCCGUCCCACCCAGGCCCAGACCCUGGGCCUUGCCCUUCCUGCUGUCCAUGGGGCUUGCAGUGCCUGGUGCCCAGCACAGUCUGGGGAAAUUGGCCUCGCCCCAUCAGUGAAUCUGAAUGCUCAGAUUGAAGUGGAGUGAGUAAAGAGGAGCUGGCCUUUCUUGCAAGCAA
rnacentral:sRNA from 1 species